rnacentral:rRNA from 1 species
GCAGGCGGUUUUUCUAAGUCUGAUGUGAAAGCCUUCGGCUUAACCGGAGAAGUGCAUCGGAAACUGGAUAAACUUGAGUGCAGAAGAGGGUAGUGGAACUCCAUGUGUAGCGGUGGAAUGCGUAGAUAUAUGGAAGAACACCAGUGGCGAAGGCGGCUACCUGGUCUGCAACUGACGCUGAGACUCGAAAGCAUGGGUAGCGAACAGGAGUUAGAUACCCUGGUAG